UACGUAGGGGGCAAGCGUUAUCCGGAAUUAUUGGGAGUAAAGCGCGCGCAGGCGGUUGAUUAAGUCAGAUGUGAAAGGCUACGGCUCAACCGUAGAGUUGCAUUUGAAACUGGUUAACUUGAGUGCAGGAGAGGUAAGUGGAAUUCCCGGUGUAGCGGUGGAAUGCGUAGAGAUCGGGAGGAACACCAGUGGCGAAGGCGGCUUACUGGCCUGCAACUGACGCUGAGGCGCGAAAGCGUGGGGAGCGAACAGG
rnacentral:rRNA from 1 species